UCCCUGGUGGUCCAGUGGCUGAGACUCUGCAGUCCCAAUGCAGGGGGCCUGAGUUCGAUCCCUGGUCAGGGAA
rnacentral:tRNA from 1 species